UACGGGGGGGGCAAGCGUUGUUCGGAAUUACUGGGCGUAAAGGGCUCGUAGGCGGCCAACUAAGUCAGACGUGAAAUCCCUCGGCUUAACCGGGGAACUGCGUCUGAUACUGGAUGGCUUGAGUUUGGGAGAGGGAUGCGGAAUUCCAGGUGUAGCGGUGGAAUGCGCAGAUAUCAGGAGGAACACCGGUGGCGAAGGCGGGUCUCUGGGCAGUAACUGACGCUGAGGAGCGAAAGCGUGGGGAGCGAACAGG
rnacentral:rRNA from 1 species